rnacentral:tRNA from 1 species
AUUUAAAUAGUUUAAUUAAAAUAUUAAUUUGUGGGAUUAAAGUUAUAACUAUGUUAUUUUAGAUU